rnacentral:rRNA from 1 species
GACAGAGGGUGCAAACGUUGUUCGGAAUUACUGGGCGUAAAGCGCGUGUAGGCUGCUUCGCAAGUCGGAUGUGAAAGCCCUGGGCUCAACCUGGGAAUUGCAGUGGAUACUGGCAAGCUAGAGUGCGGUAGAGGAUGGUGGAAUUCCCGGUGUAGCGGUGAAAUGCGUAGAGAUCAGGAGGAACACCCGUAGCGAAGGCGGCACUCUGGGCCGAUACUGACACUGAGGAGCGAAAGCGUGGGGAGCGAACAGG